rnacentral:misc_RNA from 1 species
CGUCAUCUCAUGCAUCGCUCACGGCCGCCGACUCACACGAUCCUAUCUCCUGCCUCACUGCAAGCCCAUCCAUCAGAGCUCCUCGCCUGUCGCACUCUAUUCUUGACGCUAUCGCUACCCUGUGUACGUCUACGUGCAUGCAGCACUACAGUCGAGAAGCAAGAGCGAGUUGCUUGGUGCAAGUUUGGGUGGUUAGCGGUGCACGGCACCGCUGAAACAGACUUCUCACACCGUACAUGUAAGCCUCACCACCACCACCACCAUCCUCCCGCCUCUCCACGUGCCCAUACGCGCGCACAUUGUGGCAAAUAUUUCGCUUGACGCGCACGUGUGGCAACAGAGACGGAAGACAGAAUACUCCAAACGGCCAAGUGGACCUGCCGCCAUGCCAGGCAAGGCGUCGGGGGGCGUGGUGGCCAUCACGCCGACCGACUGGGAAGCGCAAUAUGAAAGAGACUUUAACGCGCAGAAGAGCAGCGGCUCCAUCAUCUUCUCGGAGGAGGAGCGUCGAAAGAAUCGCGAACUUUGCUCGCGGCUGCGCGACAUUCUCCCGUUCGACGACGCGUAUAAGGUGAGCGACUGCGACCUGAUGUACCGCUUCCUCAUUGGUAAGCACUGGAACGUUGCCUCGACUGAGAAAGGGAUGCGCGAGUACGCGCGGCUGCGCAAGUCCGAUGAUCUCAACAACAUCAUUGGGGAGCAACUGCACCCCACCAUUUGCUCGGUGCUCUCCCCCAUGUACAAGGACGAGCCGUGCCCCAUCUACGGCCUUGACAAGGAAGGUCUCCCCGUGCUGUGGCUUUCGCCGGACGCCAACAAGCUCAUGGCGGCUAUGAAAGACUUCACUAGCGAGCAGCUGCUGCGUUUUCAGCUGCGGUCAAUGGAGGUGAGCCGCUACGUCUGCCUGCAGCGGAGGGUGGAUCGCUGCACGUACGUGAUUGAUCUGGGCGGCAUCACCAUAUCCAGCGUGAACAAGGCAACGCUGGCGCUUCUCAAAGGUGUCAUGAACCUGCUGCAGGUUGCCUACCCUGAGAUCAUGCGCCGUCUGCUGAUCUUCAACACGGGGUGGGCGGUGUCCGCCGCCUGGAAGGUGCUGCGUCCGCUAGUGGACAUGCGCGUUCAGGACAAGAUCAAGUUUGAGAGCGGUCCGCCAACGCUGGCGGUGCUGGAGCAGUACAUAGCAGCGGAUCAGGUGCACCCCUCGUUCGGCGGCACAGGGUCUGCAAACGUGCUGGGCCCGAUCAUCGACGCUGAGGUGCGCCGCAUCCGGCGCGGCGUCGAGGGCCGAGUUUCUCCAGAUCCCGCCGCCGCCGCUGCAUCGGUCGUGCACAGGCCUUCCUUGGAGUCGCGGCAGAGCACGACCCUUCUUAGCCGAGAUGCGCUUACGCUCUACAGUGUCGAGUCGACGACCCCGCUCAGCACUGCAUGCCCGUCACCCAACUGCAACCCAUCCCUCGCAUGCGGCGGCCACGCCGAGGAGCGCGAACGCGUGGUUAUCGGUAUGCCCAGUGCCGUGACAGCUUGGUUGGUGAAGACGAGCACAGCCAGCGGGCCACUGAACGUGCUCGACAUGUCGCUCAGUGAUGCCUCCAGCUCCGGAGAGUACGCCUGCUGCAGGGAGCAGGCGUCCCCGACUCCCGCCGCCGACGACGCAACGAAGCGCUCCUACCGCGGUGUUGCUUCGCCGCCGUCGCGCGACCCGUCGGCAGACGGCACCGCGGCCCCUUCACGCGAGCCGGUGCCGAUCCAUGCCACGACUAGCAUAGAGCCCACGACACAGCAGCAGACCGAGCUACCAAUCGUGGCCAUCUCGCUAACGUACGGAGCCGACGGCAGCAUCAGUGGCUAUUGUGGGCGGCAGUGUGUCGGAUGCUUCCAACAGGGCCUUCUGUACGCUCCCGCCACGGAUGACGACGACUCUGCGUUUCCGCGGCGCUUUCCCUCCUUGCUGCCCUUGUCGCAGUCCUCCGUCGUCGGUGGCUGUGCGGGACGCAGCGUGGGGGUGCCGGCGGGUGAGCUUUUGGCCGAGGCGGGCCACCCGCUGCACAACUUCCUCAUCGUGUGUGACGCCCAGCGCCGCGCCCGCUACCUAGUGCGCGAGAGCCGCCUCCGUAAACGGCUGACCGUCUACAACGUCGUCGGAGAAGCUGAGGUACAUACGGGAAAAAAUAACCGACACUACGUCGAGGGCGAGCGUGCGAAGCUGGGCGUCGUGGUCCCGCACUCCAACGCCACCAGCUGCGGCGGGAAAGAGGAUUGGAUGCUGUACGGCGAAGAUGUGACGAAGCGCUCGUCGCGUAACCCAACGCUGCCCCUGCAGCAGCUCUUCUCGAAGACGAAACGGGCGGUGCUGACGGCGAAGAAGAGCAGAAGCAGUGAUUCACUGGACAAGUCGCAAAACGGCCGCUGGGCGGCGUCCAUAUUCGCCGCCUUGCACUUCCGCGUCUACUCGCCUGCGAAAAGAAAGCCGAAGUCCAUCAGCUUCAUGGCAUCGGGCAGCGCCAGCGUCCCGCCCCCAAGCCUUCCUGACCAGUCUGGAAAAAGCUGUGACGCAGUGACAGACGACAGCACACAGCUGCUCGCCGAGUGCAAGGGCCAAACAGUCCGCUUCUACAAGCUGUCGACGAAGAACUCGUUGCCCGACUUGUUCGCCCUGGCCGUCGCCAUCACGCAGUCAUGGAGUAAUGAGAUGGACAGCUGCAAGGGCAAGGCGGCGGCAUCGAAAGAGACGCACUAUUCUUCCGACGAUGACGUAAUGCCCUAGGGGAAUUGAUGAAUAUCGUCAGCGUCUUUCCCUCUCUUCGUUCCGCCAUGGCGGUAGCUGUGCGGGUGAACCAGAGAGGGGGUUGGGGCGGUGGUGUAGGAAGCAGGAUGAGCCUCGGCUGGCAUCGAUCAUCCCUUCAUCACCUACGAGAAAGUAGUUUGCAGCCCAUAUAUUCCUUGUUCUUCCAUUUUUUCGUCGCAUCUCUUUGAUUUCUUUUGCGAGUUGAGGGGAGUGGAGAUGCUGUCGUGCUUCCUCGACCUGCCGGCCACACUGCAGUGGGCACCUUUCUCUCUCUCGCACGCACGCACACAUACACACACACACACAGCGUCGUCUCGGAUGUAACUCAGCGCUGGAGGGGUGGGGAUGACGCGACCCGCAUUCGAACGCAAAAAAAAAACGAAAUCAAAGGCCCCGCCACUCCCCCUCCCUCUCCUUCUCCCUCUCCGACACACGCAUGCGCACAUUUUCCAAACGGCUUUUCUACACAAAACAUACGCGGGCAGUGGCAGCUCCAUCCACGCGUGCAACAGCUCAGGCUCGCUCCUUGAUGCACUUUUCCUUGUAUGUUCCCCGUCUUUUUCUUUCCGUUCCUCGUUCCUUCUUUCUAUUUGCUUGCAUGUAGAUGUGUGUGCGACCGCACACGAGGCGGCGCCCCCCUCUUCCACCCUCCUCCUCCUCUAGCUUCCCCUCCCUCAACCGACGUGGACGAGCAGACACACGCACG